AUUGAACGCUGGCGGCAGGCUUAACACAUGCAAGUCGAGCGGAGAGAGGUAGCUUGCUACUGAUCUUAGCGGCGGACGGGUGAGUAAUGCUUAGGAAUCUGCCUAUUAGUGGGGGACAACAUUUCGAAAGGAAUGCUAAUACCGCAUACGUCCUACGGGAGAAAGCAGGGGAUCUUCGGACCUUGCGCUAAUAGAUGAGCCUAGGUCGGAUUAGCUAGUUGGUGGGGUAAAGGCCUACCAAGGCGACGAGCUGUAGCGGGUCUGAGAGGAUGAUCCGCCACACUGGGACUGAGACACGGCCCAGACUCCUACGGGAGGCAGCAGUGGGGAAUAUUGGACAAUGGGCGGAAGCCUGAUCCAGCCAUGCCGCGUGUGUGAAGAAGGCCUUAUGGUUGUAAAGCACUUUAAGCGAGGAGGAGGCUACUUUAGUUAAUACCUAGAGAUAGUGGACGUUACUCGCAGAAUAAGCACCGGCUAACUCUGUGCCAGCAGCCGCCGUAAUAC
rnacentral:rRNA from 1 species